rnacentral:rRNA from 1 species
UACAGAGACUGCAAGCGUUAUUCGGAUUCACUGGGCGUAAAGGGUGCGCAGGCGGCCAAGUGUGUGAGGCGUGAAAGCCCGGGGCUUAACCCCGGAAUUGCACCUCAAACUACUCGGCUAGAGCAUUGGAGAGGGUAGCAGAAUUCAUGGUGUAGCAGUGAAAUGCGUAGAUAUCAUGAGGAAUACCAGAGGCGAAGGCGGCUACCUGGACAAUUGCUGACGCUCAGGCACGAAGGUCAGGGGAGCAAACGGG